GAUGAACGCUGGCGGCGUGCCUAAUACAUGCAAGUCGAGCGAACAGACGAGGAGCUUUCUCCUCUGACGUUAGCGGCGGACGGGUGAGUAACACGUGGAUAACCUACCUAUUAGACUGGGAUAACUUCGGGAAACCGGAGCUAAUACCGGAUAAUAUAUUGAACCGCAUGGUUCAAUAGUGAAAGACGGUUUUGCUGUCACUUAUAGAUGGAUCCGCGCCGCAUUAGCUAGUUGGUAAGGUAACGGCUUACCAAGGCAACGAUGCGUAGCCGACCUGAGAGGGUGAUCGGCCACACUGGAACUGAGACACGGUCCAGACUCCUACGGGAGGCAGCAGUAGGGAAUCUUCCGCAAUGGGCGAAAGCCUGACGGAGCAACGCCGCGUGAGUGAUGAAGGUCUUCGGAUCGUAAAACUCUGUUAUUAGGGAAGAACAAAUGUGUAAGUAACUAUGCACGUCUUGACGGUACCUAAUCAGAAAGCCACGGCUAACUACGUG
rnacentral:rRNA from 1 species